rnacentral:lncRNA from 1 species
AUGCAGAGUUCAGAGUAUUCUGACUAUACUGCAUAUUUGAAAUUGGAUUAUUGUAUUGAUUUGAGGAUGAUAUAAAUGCAUGGUUCAUAGUAUGUUGACCAUGUCAGAUAUUUGGAAGAUGUAUAUUGUUUUGAGUGAAGAUAUGAAGAGUAAGUGUAGAGUAUGAGUUGUAUUGGAUUAGACGGAGAGAUUGGUAGAUAGAGGUUGAUAGGUGAGAAGUGAAUGAUAGAAAGUAUGUGGAAUUGAGUCCAGUUAUUAGAGAUGAUGUCUACGGUCAAGUUAGAACGGACGCUUCAAGCUAAUCGGGACUUCAAACGAUAUCAAGGUGGGCCCAUAACCCACAGGUUGACGAUCCAAACGAUUGAAGAUAUGUUACAUGUCAUGCUAUGGACUUCAAAGGCAAUUGGGAUGAAAUAAUGUAAACUACUUGGGCCAGACUUAUUACGAACAAUGACAUCUUACGACGCUAUUACGAUUGAACGUCGAUCAAUUGUCGAGAAGGCUGAAAAGGAGAUAUACAACGAACGAUGAUUUUUGAAGUAGAGUAGUAAUUUGAGAAGACCUUGGCAGUACCUCUCUUCAACUAAAGAUUCUUUUGAUUGUUUUCUCAUCAGUGAGAUAUUAUCAUGAUAUCUUUUCUACAAAAAUUUUGAUAAAUGAGAUCUUCAAUUUCUCAAAUUCUAAGAUGACAUUGAUAUUGAUUAUUGGUAUGAGUUGGAAAGCAAAGAUGUGUGAUAAAGGUUUGUUGUGAAGAGAUAGUGAUGUUCCUUGAUAUUGUUUGACAUUUCUUGACAUUCCUUGAUACCCUUUCAUCUUCCUUGAUAUCCCUUGAUGUUCUUUGAUAUCUUUGAUAUUCCUUGACAUUCUUUGAUAUUCCUUGACAUUUAUUCAAUUUGAUUGGGAUGAACAACCCUAUUUAUAGGGGACACAAGGUAUACCUGUCUGUGUGAUAGGAGUUGGAUGGGACGCCAUCACUUGUGUGUGUUGUGAUUACAAGAAGGUUAACAACCUUUAGUAGUGUCUAAUAUGGACACGCAACAUUAAGUUCAUUUGAUCGUAUUGAUCUCCCAGUCACUCUUGUAUUCCAAUGUGAC